ACCAGCAUGGUAACUUGACUGUGUUCUCUGCGGUUUCCUAAACCUGUUCUAAAUGAGUUUCUGCUGAAGCACAAGGUGAGAACAACAGUCCUGUGAACCACCGAGCUACUCCUCCUGCCAAACCCACCUGCUGUGGCAAAGACUUGCCUCCCCCAACAAACCAUCAUCCACCACCAACACUGCCUGUGAAGUCACGGUCAGCAGCAGAAGUCCAAAAGCCUGAAGCAUGGUGCAGAUGAGUCUCUGAAAUGUGAUCUUAAAAUGAAUCCGAGGGGAAAGGAGGGGGCCUGGUGGUGUCGUCUCAAUCAAAUGAAGUUCAUGGGAGCAGGUCCACCUCUCAUGGAGACGGAGGAUGAGUCAGGGCCCUGAGCUGCAAAUAAAAACCCACCAGAUGAAUCCCAUGGAUCAGAUGGAUCUGAAGAAUGGAGACGUGAAGUUCUGCUCCCAGAGCUGUAAGUGUGGCAGGAGUGAUGAGGUUAAAAAAGUGGGCACUGUUUCUGGAAUAAUCUGUUUAUCUACUGCUCAGACGUAAUCCUGCUUUACCCCAUGGCCCUCGCAGCGCAGACGUCAUCCUGUUAGUAGCUUUCUGGGGGCAUCUGUCAGCUCUGGAGGCCCCACACUGAGCCAUCAUAACCUUCAGCUCCAGCUUCACAGGAGACACCAGUGAUAGCAGAUCUGCCUGACACGGCUCUAUAAAAACCACCUGGACUUUACAUGCAGUCCUUACGGUUCUGACUUUAUCCUCACAUCCUCCAACAGGUAGAAACAUGGCUCCUGCGGUCUGCUCCUGAUGGGUUUUAUUUAAAGAAUAAUUGUCAGUGCCUCAGACUGUGACUCUGCUGUCAGGCUCAGCAAGAAUAAAUGACUACUUAAACCCUC